rnacentral:rRNA from 1 species
GACGAACGCUGGCGGCGUGCUUAACACAUGCAAGUCGUACGGUAAGGCCCUUUCGGGGGUACACGAGUGGCGAACGGGUGAGUAACACGUGAGUAACCUGCCCACAACUUUGGGAUAACGCUAGGAAACUGGUGCUAAUACUGGAUAUGUGCUCCUGCUGCAUGGUGGGGGUUGGAAAGCUCCGGCGGUUGUGGGUGGACUCGCGGCCUAUCAGCUUGUUGGUGGGGUAGUGGCCUACCAAGGCGGCGACGGGUAGCCGGCCUGAGAGGGUGACCGGCCACAUUGGGACUGAGAUACGGCCCAGACUCCUACGGGAGGCAGCAGUGGGGAAUAUUGCACAAUGGGCGCAAGCCUGAUGCAGCAACGCCGCGUGCGGGAGGACGGCCUUAGGGUUGUAAACCGCUUUCAGCAGGGACGAAGCUUUUUGUGACGGUACCUGCAGAAGAAGCACCGGCUAACUACGUG